AUGAAUUUGCCUGGUAUGUUGCUGGUGCUGUUCUGGAUUUCAGCUUCCAGAGGUGAUGUUGUGAUGACACAAACUCCAGUCUCCCUGCCUGUCAGCCUUGGAGAUCAAGCCUCUAUCUCUUGCAGGUCUAGUCAGAGCGUUGCACACAGUAAUGGAAAUACCUAUUUGAAAUGGUUACUGCAGAAGCCAGGCCAAUCUCCUCGGCUCCUCAUCUAUGAGAUUUCCAACCGAUUUUCUGGGGUCCCAGACAGGUUCAGUGGCAGUGGUUCAGGGACAGAUUUCACACUCAAGAUCAGCAGAGUGGAGCUUGAGGAUCUGGGUGUUUAUUACUGCAUCCAAUCUACACAUACUUUUCUCGGUGUGUCAAAAAUAGAAGCAGAAAGUUCUAGGUUAACCUUAUGA